rnacentral:lncRNA from 10 species
UCAUGGCAUCAUUCAGAAAAUUGAGAUUUGUUCCUAUGGCCGCCCCCCCUUGGCCCCAGCCCCAAUGCUUGUCAGUCUGGGGUAUUCAUGGGGUUCUGCUGGUGGUUUGCCUUCUUCACAGGAAAAUAUAUUUUUUCCUGCCGAAAAUUUCAGCCUGGGCAUUCAAUUCCUCAGUCUGGUGGUCGGCACUAUGUCUGUAAAAUAUUCUAUAACAUUUCUCGGCUUUAGUGAACAGAUUAUCACCCAUUUUUAUUUUCGUAGGAAUCGGCAUAGUUGGGACACUUAACUGAAAUGAUUGGACCACACUGUGAAGGACAUAAAGAGCUAUGAAAAAUCCCAGCUUUGUUGCUCUACAGAACACAGAAAUAUCUGAAUGAACAAAUUCAGUAAGCCACCCUGAUAUGUUGUCUCUGCAACAUGAUCCAUUCACCUAUAUAUAGAUAUUUAGGUUUCUCAUUUUCUUCUUGAUGUUUGAUAUCAUAAAAAUAUAGACAACAUCCAUGGAUCCUGAUGAUCAAAAAUGUUUUUCUCCAGGUCUUAAGAUCGUUUAGUCAGAGGUGCAUUUCAAUGCAGUUGGUUCAUUUCUGAGCCCUGGGACUCUCUUGUGUGUGUUUGUAGAAGGCAUGGAAUAACAGUUUGUUUUGCUCUCACCUUCACCUCUCUUCUUAAGGCGCAAGCUGAGCUUUAUAGUUCAGAAGUUAAACACAUUAGAAUAUUUAUUUAAAGGCAAUUGCACUUCCUGCUGUCUGGGUAGCUGGGCUCACCAGGCCACUAGACCCCCAAAUGUGUAUUUGCCUUCUGGUGGCCCAGCCUGCAGGGCCAUUGUCUCCCUGUUGUUAGCAAAUGGUUUCCUCCACAAGCCUUUUAACUCCACAAGUUUGCAACCAUUAAUUCUUAAGGGUUUUGACAAAUCUCCCCAGUUAAAUAUUAAACAAUAAAUAUGGCCCGGAUGGUAACAGUGCAUUGUGAAGUCUGUUUGAAGUGUCCUUUAAAAUAUUAAAUUCAAAUAAAUGAUUGAAUCAGAACAAAGGCUAUAUCUUAAGACAAAUUCAGCCAAGUCUCUUUAACCUUUGAGCUUUCAACAUAGAUUAGAAAGCCAGGGCAACGCAUGCUUUCAUAGCAAAUUGAAAUGGGAUUUUUGAAACAGUUCCUGCAAAUACAGGUAACCCAUACCUAGGUUUGAUCUGCCUUUGCCAUUUUGGGGGAGAGAUUUUGCUGCUCAUUGUUUGAUAAAAAUGUGAUUUUUUAAAAAGCCCUUAUGUUCAAAGAAGCAAAUCCUUGAAAACGCUAGCUUUGGGUGCUAUGUUUAUUCCUUGUCAAUGUCUUCCAUAUGAAAUCUGUUCUGCUUAUAAUAUCUACCACAGUUGGAGCCUUGAAAAAAAUCUGUUUCAUAUCUGCCCUUUGUACUUAGCUUAUUUUGUUUUAUGCUUCCCCCAAGUUAUACGUCUGUAAGCUGUCUUUCUUCUAAGCAGGCGGUCCUAGAGGAGGAGGAAUUGGGGGAUUGCCCUGCAUUUAGGGGAGCCUGGACUUCUAACACAUGAAUUAUACCUUAGGUAGGAAGCAGGUAAAGGAGAAGAAGGUGGAUUCACCAGCUGGGAAAAAAGAUGAGUAAAGCCAAAUUCUGCCUCCUUCUCACUCCUACACCCUGUGCGGCUGGUCCAGCACCCGUUGGCUCUUCUCUUGGGUUUGUGCUCUGCCACAGCGUCCCCAUCUGUUCCAUCUGUUUCCUCGACACUGCACAACCUCCGGUAGCUCUUGAUCCAGCCUGCCCAGAACAAUGACUCCACAUACCCAAGCUUCUUAGAAGAGAGUGUGACACAGUUGGCUACAGGGCAUGCACGAUAAAGAGACCCUGUUAUAAUAAACACGGGUUGCUCAUUAGGAGCAUAUGGUUGACAUCGUGGGGGCUGAAAGGUGUGAGCAUGUCGAAGACAAAGACACCCAUCAAACAUCUCUUGAAUGAAUGCUUGUGGGCUGCAAAGGUUUCUGAAAGGAGCAGAGUUUCUGCAAAUGCACUGCACUCUGGGAGGCCUGUGGGUUUCUGUGCCCACCCUGGUGGGAGGAUGCCCCAACACAAGGCAGUUUGGUCCUCAGCUAAUGCCCUAUUGUCUGAACGCUGUUUUGAUGUAGACCUGUUCCCUGCCCCUUGCUGAUGCUCCAUCAGGUAGACAGGGAUCUCCCUCACUUCAGGAAUUGACAAAGCAAUUGUCUGAUGCCGGAGAGGCUAGACAUUGUCCAAACCAGCAAAGGGAGCUUUGACAUCCAGAGAGAGAGCCUCCCUGAAAACCUAGGAAUAAGAUGCUCUUCUUUCCUCUACAAGAAAGAGAAAUAUCAUCUGAUGGGACAGCCCCCAUGGUUUCAGCACCACCCGGGAGGGAGCCUAAUUAGGAGCCUGUUGCUGACUUGCAAGGCUAGACUUCUCCCAGAAUCGGGGUCAGGCUGGUCAAAGGCACUAUCUGCAGUUCCUGCAUGUCCAUUCUGUUCAUGCCACUAGGGGUCCUCAUUGGUUUGUUCAGGACAGAGCAAAAGGCAGCUUUUGAGAUAGAAACCACCAGAAAGAGGCCUUCAAUUUGACUUCUUUGUGGGUCUCAGGCUGUGUGGUCUUGGACAAGUUACUCAGAACCCCUGGGCCUCAGUGUCCUCAUUUCUACAAUGGGAAGAAGAAGGGGCUGAGAACUUACUUUCAUGGAGGACCUACUAGGUGCCAGACAUAGCUUUUGUUUUAAUAGAGGUUCCUCCAGAAACAAAGCCCGAGACAAGGACGUGAUACAGUGGUUUCUUUGGAAAUUGUGGAUCCCAGUUGAGGGUGACACAGAAUAAGGAGAAGCUGACCUUCGGGUAUGUCACGGAGGGGCUGCUGAGCACGGCAGAGGCUCGAGCCCAGGGAGACCUCCUCAGCAGGGUAGAGUGCCUCCGGGAGGCUGGGCCAUUUGUCUGCCAGCUCCUGUCCCAUAUGGAGUAAGGGCUGCCUCUGAGGAUGAUGCAUUUUACCACAGAGUGGAGAAGUCCCCAGAACAGAAAGUGGAGACACAUGGUACACACUUAAGGUGGGUGAAUCUGAAACCAGACAAGCUGUCACUGAAAACAGAUGUGAGUCGAAGGGCUGUGAUGCAAGCACCGGGGCCACCAUGCUCAAUGAUACAUGUAUAGAUAUACAUAGCCUGCCAAUGCAUUGGACACAGACGAGGCAAGGCUACUGUCUUCCUCCCAGAGUUGAGAGGAGCAUAUGAAGGAAAGUGCUGAUGGUGACUGAUACAGGGUAGAUUUUGACUAAUAGAACUCAGCAUCUUGCUGGGGCAGGGAGAGUGUAGCUACUCAGACAUUUCCACUGCCACAGAACCCCUCCCUCCACCGGGGCCACUGUGUGUGAGGAGAAGGAGCAAUGUGAGGAAGAAAGGGGCCCUUACCAAGGAAUCAUUUGGGAGUGAUUCAGCAAACCUUCUGUCUGCUAAGAAUGAAGGUCGUUUUAGAAUUUCUCUGUGCUUACCUGUGUAGGUGCAGGAUCCUAGAUAUUUUUGAGAUGAUUAAUUAAAUCCAACAGGGAGAUAACUUUCAGCAGCACAUCAAACAGCCACAGAAUGUGUGGCUAGCAUUACAUUUAUGUGUGUGUAAAAUCUUUUUAAUAUAAUUAUUACUGCAUUCCCAAAAGACAUACUUUUCCCAACUAGAAGAAAGACAGAAAGAAAGGAAGGAGGGAAUCAAGGAAAGAAGGAAGAAAGGGAAAGAAGAAAAAGAGAGAGAAAAAAGAAGGAAGGAAGGAAGGAAGGAAGGAAGGAAGAAAUCUGUAUUAAAUGGAGAGGAACUUGUGAACAUAGAUCAAAGCACAACUGGCCUCACAUCCCCUCCAGUGGAAAAUGUCGUGAGCCUAACAGGAGAGCAAAGUUUUGAGGUGGUGGCCAGGGUGCAGACAUAGCCUCAUUAUAAUGAAGAAUUACCAAUGUAAUUAUUAGCACCUGACUUUACCUAGAAGCACACAUCUGCAUUUCUACUUAGGAUCAUUCAUACCUCAAAUUAUCUGAGAUGAAUUGCAUCAAAUUCCUAGUGAGAUUUUCCAGAGAAUUUACCAAAAUUAGGUCAUCAUUUACCAUCUCCUGUCUUGCUUACUUCCCUUUGGUGCUUGCCACCAGCAAAAGGUAUUUUGAGUAAAAAUAGUUACACUCUCUAGGCCAAAAGGUGCCCCCCAUUUACCUCUGUACCCACAGACACUAUCUUGGCUCAACCUCCUCUCAGCUUUCAUCUAUGUUUCUGUGACCUUCUCUGUACCUAGUGAUCCUGCCUCUCUGCUUCCAGUCUUUUCCCUGCUCCAGUCCAAACUCCUCACUGCUCCGAGAGGGAUCCUUCCAAAUUGCGUAUUUGAACAUAUAUAUCACCCCUCUGCCCCAAAUCCUUCAAUGGUUCCAGAUGUUUUCAGGAUAAGACUUAGGACCUCACAUGACUGUGCCCUGUCUGCUUUUUUUGGCCCUCUCAGUCUCCACACACUUCUGCGGUUCUAACCAAACACCGUCCAUUUACACACAAUGCAUCACACUCUGUGUCUUAGCUGGAAACAGCCACCCCACCUGUACCUGCUCAGCACUUCCUGGUAGGCUUCCCCAGCAAAGGCAGAGAUUUUGUCUUUUUCAUAUCUGACCCCUUAGGACCAAGUACAUGGCUCAGUCAAUAUUGAAUGUGCUCAACAGAAACACAAAUAACAUAAAAGAAGCCUGCUUCUUUCUAAGUGGUGAUUUGGCCAAACUACAGCAUGGCAAAGGAGAGGUGGGGGAACAGUCUAGGUACUGGUAAGAAAAAUAUGUGAUAUAAAUUUUCAACUCCUCCUGCAUCAGGUCUUCAUUAUGUGUUUUAUCUAUUUUAUUUAAAGAGAAUUCUAAGAGCGCCACAUCUCUGCACAUUUAAAUACAUGCACCUUUGCCUGGACAUAUUGUGUGACAGAAGAAAACAGUAAAAAAAUAAAUACGUGAACCUUAGCAACA